rnacentral:lncRNA from 1 species
UGAAAUCCCAAAAAAUACAAAUUGCAAAUGGCAAGGAAAAGACCACUACAGAAGAAUAAGAGGAAUCCCUUGACAAUGCUCAAAGGAUGAAAAACCAACAUUAUUCAUAAUAGAACUACAACCAUUAAAAUCCAAUUACGUCUCAGAACGAAAAAUAAAUUUAGGCAAAUGGAGGAAUAGAAGAUCUUUGAGAGCUCAAAUUUUCUAGUCACCUCCUAGACCACGACAAUUCCACCCAACUGCAGUCACAGUGCCUUGGCGGGCCUGUCACGAUCAACACCCCAUCCACCUUCACCGGAGAGAGCGAAAUGGGUCCUGAGGGCCCACCAACACAUCAAAAUCAAAAGAACCAUCAGUCUCAGAGUGUGGCCCUGGGUUAGUAGCAAGUGGAAAUGGACCACAAAAGUCAGCCCAAGAGGAGGCCCCUCAGGCUCCAAUGAUGGCCCAGGAUCUGUGCCACUAUUUUCCAUAGGUGUUGAGCCCACAAUCUGUGUGUGAUCUGCUGAAAAGAAAUGAAGUAGCAGGCCCACCCGCCCCAACAAACCAAGGAGGCAGAUAGUCCACGAAUUAAAACACGCAUUGUCCCAAAAUCUAACUAGGGUUAAGAGAAAGAAAACAACCAGGGAGGAAACAAAGUAGUUACUAGUUCCCUGAUGCGCCGUCGCCGAGGAAGACCCCAUUGAAUCUGAACUCACGGAUGGGUCUGGAGAUGGAGUCGGACGAGAUGAAAGCAAAAGAGAAGGCCUAGCUGCCCCUUUCGCUUACGGCGGUGAGAUUGGCCUGUAGAAGCAGUGAGCGGAGGCAAGCGGACUGGAACUGAGACAGCCACGAGGAGCAUCGGGACCGCUCGCACUGGAACUGUCAGUCGAACCUCUGGUUGGAGUGUGAAAGCAUUCACCUUCCUAUACGAUCCUGUUGCAAGUGCCAUCCAUAGACCCCGAGUCUCCGUAUUAAGAGGAGGGAAACCAUCGACUUCGCACAUGUUAUAGUGAUGACCCAGAUGACCUCAAGAAUAGCACACCACCGGCAACCCCUCGUAGUGGAGGCGAACCCAAAAACCCGUCCUGUCUUCAGAGCGAGCGCGGCGACGAUAUAUAUUAUUUUAGAUUUUAGAUAUAGAUAGAUUUAGAUGUAGGUUAAACUAAAUCUACGGAGAUUAUUAAAGAAGGAGAGAGAUAGGCUUGCGCAUGGGGCAGAUCGGGGAUGGUUGACGGGUAUCAGAUCCCCGCCCAUCGUAGCCACCGGGCUUCCCAUCCCUGGCUGCAUGACGGAUCUAGAAAUCAAACCAUCCCCAUCACUAGCCAGAUAUAGGGUAGCCCGUGGAUGAUGAAAGCCCC